UCGAGGAUCUUCGGCAAUGCGCGCAAGCGCGACCGAGCGACGCCGCGUGGGCGAUGAAGGCCUUCGGGUUGUAAAGCCCUGUCGAGGGGGAGAAAAGGGUAAAACUUUGAUCUAUCCCUGGAGGAAGCUCGGGCUAAGUUCGUGCCAGCAGCCGCGGUAAGACGAACCGAGCGAACGUUGUUCGGAAUCACUGGGCUUAAAGGGUGCGUAGGCGGGCUGCCAAGUUUGAGGUGAAAUCCUCCGGCUCAACCGGGGAAGUGCCUUGAAUACUGGCGGUCUGGAGGGAGGUAGGGGCGUGCGGAACUAACGGUGGAGCGGUGAAAUGCGUUGAUAUCGUUAGGAACUCCGGUGGCGAAGGCGGCACGCUGGACCUUUACUGACGCUGAGGCACGAAAGCCAGGGGAGCGAACG
rnacentral:rRNA from 1 species